UACGUAGGGGGCGAGCGUUGUCCGAAGUUACUGGGCGUAAAGCGCGCGUAGGCGGUCAUUUAAGUCUGAGGUGAAAGGUUCAGCGCUCAACGUGAACAGUGCCUUGGAUACUGGGUGACUUGAGUUCGGGAGGGGGCAGUGGAAUUCCUGGUGUAGCAGUGAAAUGCGUAGAUAUCAGGAGGAACACCGAUGGCGAAGGCAGAUCUCUGGGCCGUAACUGACGCUGAGGAGCGAAAGCAUGGGGAGCGAACAGG
rnacentral:rRNA from 1 species